rnacentral:rRNA from 1 species
GUAGUUAGCCGGGGCUUCCUCCUCAGGUACCGUCAUUGUGUUCGUCCCUGAGGACAGAGGUUUACAAUCCGAGAACCUUCUUCCCUCACGCGGCGUUGCUGGGUCAGGCUUUCGCCCAUUGCCCAAUAUUCCCCACUGCUGCCUCCCGUAGGAGUCUGGACCGUGUCUCAGUUCCAGUGUGGCCGAUCACCCUCUCAGGUCGGCUACCCAUCGUAGUCUUGGUGGGCCGUUACCUCACCAACUAACUAAUGGGACGCGAACUCACCCUUUUGCGGAUUGCUCCUUUUACCUCAUGGCCAUGUGGCCCCGUGGUCUUAUGCGGUAUUAGCAACUGUUUCCAGUUGUUAUCCCCCUCAAAAGGACAGAUUGUUCACGCGUUACUCACCCGUCCGCCGCUCGAACACGGAACCGAAGCUCCAUGUCCUCGCUCGACUUGCAUGUGUUAGGCACGCCGCCAGCGUUCGUCCUGAGCCAGAAUCGAACCCUGA